GAAAGUAAAUACACUUCUCGGAGUGUGGUUUCCUGUGAUCAGUCCAUGAUUAAAGACACUAACGACAACAUUUUAAUACAAAGUAUGUUUUGCACCGUUAUAAAUAAAGCUAUAAUUUACUUAAUAGUGAUGACUAUUUGCAUAACGGGAGUAAUCCCAUGGAAACAAAACAUAUUUCGAAAAGUGUCCAGUAUUCCCGUGAUAGAGAAUGCUUGCGACCUCUGGAAAGGUGUUGUUUGGAGUCUGGUGGAUUGUUCUAAAACAUGUUUAAGUGAUGAACGAUGUGUUCUCUUCACGUAUGAUAAAAAUGGAACAUGUUCUACGUAUUGUAACAUCGGAACGGAGGUUGAAGCUGUGCAUGGAUAUGUCUCUGUUUCAGACACAAUGUCAGCCUGGUUUUGUGAAAUACGAAAACAGCUGUUACUGGUUUUCACUGAAAUCAGCGAUCCGAUCAUGGGAUGAAGGCAAGGCAUAUUGCCAAAGCAUUAAUUCCUACCUUGUCAUCAUAACGUCAGCUGAAGAAGACAAAUUCAUCCGGGAAUAUCUGUUACAAAGUACAA